AUGCGGCGUAGUUUGUUUGUGAAGAUUGUCACCGAUUGUGAGGCCGCCUCAUAUUACUUUAAACGUCGUAGAUUCGCGGCCGGUAUCAUGGGGUUUAGUGCAUAUCAAAAGAUAUCGGCGGCAAUGCAGGUACUCGCUUAUGGCAUACCCGCGGAUUAUACCGACGAGUAUCUUCGCAUUGGGCAAGAUACAACCACGGAGUCAGUCCGUAGGUUUGCCAAGUUGGUCAUCCGGUUGUAUGGUGAGCAGUAUCUUCGAGCACCAAACGAGGAAGAUACAAAGAGAUUAAUGAAAAUGAAUGAAAAAAGGGGAUGGCCGGGGAUGCUAGGUAGUCUUGAUUGCAUGCAUUGGAGGUGA
rnacentral:rRNA from 1 species